rnacentral:rRNA from 1 species
CGUACACUCCUACGGGAGGCAGCAGUGGGGAAUAUUGCACAAUGGGCGCAAGCCUGAUGCAGCCAUGCCGCGUGUAUGAAGAAGGCCUUCGGGUUGUAAAGUACUUUCAGCGGGGAGGAAGGCGAUAAGGUUAAUAACCUUGUUGAUUGACGUUACCCGCAGAAGAAGCACCGGCUAACUCCGUGCCAGCAGCCGCGGUAAUACGGAGGGUGCAAGCGUUAAUCGGAAUUACUGGGCGUAAAGCGCACGCAGGCGGUCUGUCAAGUCGGAUGUGAAAUCCCCGGGCUCAACCUGGGAACUGCAUUCGAAACUGGCAGGCUAGAGUCUUGUAGAGGGGGGUAGAAUUCCAGGUGUAGCGGUGAAAUGCGUAGAGAUCUGGAGGAAUACCGGUGGCGAAGGCGGCCCCCUGGACAAAGACUGACGCUCAGGUGCGAAAGCGUGGGGAGCAAACAGGAUUAGAUACCCGAGUAGUCCCA